UACGGAGGGGGCUAGCGUUGUUCGGAAUCACUGGGCGUAAAGCGCACGUAGGCGGCUUUGCAAGUCAGAGGUGAAAGCCCGGGGCUCAACCCCGGAAUAGCCUUUGAGACUGCAUGGCUUGAACACGGGAGAGGUGAGUGGAAUUCCGAGUGUAGAGGUGAAAUUCGUAGAUAUUCGGAAGAACACCAGUGGCAAAGGCGGCUCACUGGACCGUUGUUGACGCUGAGGUGCGAAAGCGUGGGGAGCAAACAGG
rnacentral:rRNA from 1 species